UGGGGAAUUUUGCACAACGGGGGAAACCCUGAUGCAGCGACGCCGCGUGAUUUAGAAGGCCUUCGGGUUGUAAAAAUCUUUUCUAUGGGAAGAAAAUGACAGUACCAUAGGAAUAAGGACCGGCUAAUUACGUGCCAGCAGCCGCGGUAAUACGUAAGGUCCGAGCGUUGUCCGGAAUCAUUGGGCGUAAAGGGUACGUAGGCGGGUAAGCAAGUUAGAAGUGAAAUCCUAUAGCUCAACUAUAGUAAGCUUUUAAAACUGCUCAUCUUGAGGUAUGGAAGGGAAAGUGGAAUUCCUAGUGUAGCGGUGAAAUGCGCAGAUAUUAGGAGGAAUACCGGUGGCGAAGGCGACUUUCUGGCCAUAACCUGACGCUGAGGUACGAAAGCGUGGGUAGCAAACAGG
rnacentral:rRNA from 1 species